rnacentral:rRNA from 1 species
GAUCUGGCUCAGAUUGAACGCUGGCGGCAGGCCUAACACAUGCAAGUCGAACGGUAACAGGAAGCAGCUUGCUGCUUUGCUGACGAGUGGCGGACGGGUGAGUAAUGUCUGGGAAACUGCCUGAUGGAGGGGGGAUAACUACUGGAAACGGUAGCUAAUACCGCAUAACGUCGCAAGACCAAAGAGGGGGGACCUUCGGGCCGUCUUGCCAUCGGAUGUGCCCACGAUGGGAUUAGCUAGUAGGG